CUAAGGCUUGGCUGUUCUCUAAAAUCCUGGAUGCCCUGCAGGCUCUGAAAUGACACCUGAGGGAGACGUGAGAACAGAAGGACCUCGCAGAUACGAGCGGAGCAGCAGUGUGUGAGUCCGGGCAUGGACAGAAGCAGGUGCUCACGCGUGCUGCCCAGAACCUGCAGUCCAGGGGCAGCGGUGCUAUACUUGGAUCCUUGCUCCUAAAUGGACUCUAAGCUACCUCCCGGCUGCUGGUGAUGGAAGAGAGCACCAGGGACCUGUCACUCCUGCCUCAUACCUCGCAGAUGAACAAGGCAGACUGGCCGGAAAUUCCAGAAUACAUCAUGCUACCUGCACCGGUCUGGCUCAGGCUACCGUAACAAAGCCCACAGGCUGGGGGCUUAAACAAUGGAAAUUUAUUUCCUCACGGUUCUGGAGGCUAGAAGUCCAAGAUCAAUAAAAAGUGUUGGCAGGUUUGGUUUCUCUGAGGCCUCUCUCCUUGGCUUGCAGACACAUGGCCUUUCCUCUGUGUGUCUUUUCCUGUCUCUUUGUGUGUCCAAAUUUCUUCUUCUUAUAAGGGAACCAGUCAGAUUGGAUUAGGGCCCACCCAUAUGACAUCAUUCAACCUUAAUUACUUCUUUAAAGGCCCUAUCGCCAAAUACAGCCACUUUCUGAGUUAUUGGGGUUUAGCGCUCAUACAAAUAUUAUGGGGGACACAGUUCAGCUCAUAAUAUGACGUUCCUUUUCCGGGUGUUUGCUCGUGUUGCCUUUCUCUCUGCCUGGAACACUGUCCACAUUCUCUCCUCCCAUCCCCUGAAGACAGCCUCCUACUCAUCGUCUAAAACUCAGAGCAUCACCACCACCAAGAAGGCUUCCUGGCUAGACUGCUAUCUCCUCUGGCUUCCCACAGCACCCUACCCAUAUCAUGGCAGGCACCACACUCUAAGAACUGUCUUUUCGUAUUGCCUGUCUCCCCUGCUCAGGUAGAUGUCUAUUGUUUUGAUCUGUACAGCAUUUUCUCUGCCCCUUCCUCACAUGGAAGAAAUGACACUCCCACUGGUACCUCCCCUCCUCACGGCCUCAUUUAACCUUUCACCUCCUCACAGGGCCCAUCUCCCCAGUCACCCUGGGGGUUAGGGCUUCAAGAUAUGAAUGAGGGCAGGAGGGACACAAACAUUCAGUCCACAACAGUUGGUGAGAAUGUGGAGGAAUUAGGACUCUCAUAUCUUGUUGGUGGGAAUGCAAAAUGGGGCACCAAAUCAUGGUUCCUGCUGCUUGCCACUGGGAUGAGCAUGUGACUCCUUCCUUGAGCUUUUCGUCUGUGAAUGCUGGGUGAGAAGAUACUUCCAUUUCCCCUGGGGUCCAGAACGAUGUAAGCCUGGAGCUUUGUGUGGCCGUGCCCCACUCUCCUCCCACCACGAAGGGCCUCAGAGGAAACACCUACUGUGGGCCAGAUUCUU